AUGUGGUGUGACUCUCCUCUCGUGUUUGAGCUCUUCCCACUAGAGUGAUUGUGACAUAUAGAUGAGCCCAUCUAUUAGGUUAUGUAACUUCCCUCUUCAUUCUGAUCUUUACCCACACAGAUAAUUGUGACAUAUUUCUAAGCCUCUCACCUAGAUGAUGUUACCUUUUUACCUGGGCCCUCCUCUCAGGGGUCAGGUAUUGCUAGAACUAAAGCAGAUGGUGUGACUCUCCUCUGCUGCCUAGCCUUUGCUCAAGGAAAAAUUUGUAAUGUUUCAAUGGAUCCAAGACCUAAAUGAUGUGACUAUCAUCCCUUGCCUGAACCCUGAAUACAUUGUGUAUUGUGACAUAUGGCUGGGUCCAACACCUAAGUAAUGUGACACUCUUGCAUGGGCCCUGCCAACAGAAGGCAUUAUGACAUAUCUCUGGGCACACCAAUUAUUUGAUGUGACUCUGCUGUUUUACCUGGACUUUGCCCAUAGAAGAGAUAGUGACAUACCUCUGGGUCAAGCAGCUAGGUGUUGUGACUCUCCUCUUUUGCCUGUGCCAGGCCCACAGAAGGAAUAAUGAGUUAUUACUAGACCCAGCACACAUGCAAUGUCAUUCUUCUGCCUGGAUAUUGUCGACAGUGGCCACUGUGACACAUCUCUGGGCCCAUGACCUGACCUAGGUGAUGUGUUUCUCCUCUUCUUUAUGAGACCUGCCCACAGUGGUAAUUGUGACAUACUGCUUGCUGCAGCACCUACAUAAUACUACUCUCUACUCUUGCCCAAGCCCUGCCCAUGGGUGUGAUUGUGACAGAUAAGUGAGCACUGACUCUAUGUUAUAUGAUGCAUUUCUUUUUUUCUAGCCCUGCCUACCGGGUACAUUGCUACAUAUUUCUUGUCCCCUCACCGAGGUGAUGUGACACUUCUGCCUCGGUCUUUCAGGAAGUAUUGACAUUGUGGCAAAUUGUUUCACCUAGCACCUAAGUAAUGUGACUCUUCUUUCCUUUUUGGGCUCUGCUCAAGGAGGCACUGUGAUGUAUCCCUGGACACAGCACCUAGGGGAUGUUACUCUCCUCUCCUGCCUGGGUCCAGCAUACAUUGUGUGUUGUAAUAUAUGGCUGGACUCAACAAGUAGGUGAUGCAACUCUUCUCCAUGAGCCCUGAAGACAGGGGUAUUAGAUGAUACAAUUUACUCAUCACCUAGGAGAUGUGACACAUUUUUAUUGCCUGAGACCUGUCCAAUAAGAAGAUUGUGAUGUAUCACUUGACCCAGCAUUGAGGUGAGGUUCUUCUUGUAGAAGAGGUGGUGACAUGUCUCUGGACCCAAGAGUAAGGUGAUGUUACACUUUUGCCUUGGUUCUGACCUCAGAAAGCUUUAUGACAUAUUGCUGGGCUCAGCACCAAGACGAUAAAAGAUUAUGACAUAUCACUGGACCCCGCAACAAGGUGAUGAGGCCCUUUUGACUGGGUCUUGAAUACACAGAUCACUGUGACAUAUUGCUGAGCCCUCAGAGAAGAUUGUGACAUACUUCUGACCUCAAACCCAGGCGAUGUGACUCUUCUGCCUGGGCACAGCCUAAAAAGGGGAUUGUGACAUCUCCCUGCGCUCCUCACCCAGGUUCUGCCCACAGGGGAGAUUGUUACAUAUAUCCUGGGCCCAGCUCCAAGAUGUUACUCAUUUGCCUUGGCCCUGUCUUCAGAAGGGUCUUGCUUAUAGAAGAGAUUGUUACAUAUCUCUGUUCCCAGCAUCUAAGUGAUGUAACUCUCCUCACCCGCCUGGGCCAUUUCCACAGAUGAAAAAGUGACUUAUCAUCCCUGGGCCAAGCACACAGGCAAUCUGAUUUAUUUCUCCUAGUCUCUUUCUACAGGGGGCAUUGCAAAAUAUCCCUUAGCCUAUCAACUA